UAGGGAAUCUUCCGCAAUGGGCGAAAGCCUGACGGAGCAACGCCGCGUGAGUGAUGAAGGUCUUCGGAUCGUAAAACUCUGUUAUUAGGGAAGAACAAAUGUGUAAGUAACUAUGCACGUCUUGACGGUACCUAAUCAGAAAGCCACGGCUAACUACGUGCCAGCAGCCGCGGUAAUACGUAGGUGGCAAGCGUUAUCCGGAAUUAUUGGGCGUAAAGCGCGCGUAGGCGGUUUUUUAAGUCUGAUGUGAAAGCCCACGGCUCAACCGUGGAGGGUCAUUGGAAACUGGUAAACUUGAGUGCAGAAGAGGAAAGUGGAAUUCCAUGUGUAGCGGUGAAAUGCGCAGAGAUAUGGAGGAACACCAGUGGCGAAGGCGACUUUCUGGUCUGUAACUGACGCUGAUGUGCGAAAGCGUGGGGAUCAAACAGG
rnacentral:rRNA from 1 species